rnacentral:rRNA from 1 species
GUACACGCUGUGACUAGCAUAUCAAUAAGCGGAGGAAAAGAAACUAACAAGGAUUCCCCUAGUAACGGCGAGUGAAGCGGGAAGAGCUCAAAUUUGAAAUCUUAAAGGGUUUCCCUUUACGAAUUGUAGUUUAAAGAAGUGUUUUCUGUUGAGGUUUUGGUAAAAGUUCUUUGGAAUAGGACAUCAUAGAGGGUGAGAAUCCCGUAUUUGACCUUUACUUUCAACUUUGUGAUACACUUUCAAAGAGUCGGAUUGUUUGGGAAUGCAGUCCAAAAUGGGUGGUAAAUUUCAUCUAAAGCUAAAUAUUGGCGAGAGACCGAUAGCGAACAAGUACCGUGAGGGAAAGAUGAAAAGAACUUUGAAAAGAGAGUUAAACAGUACGUGAAAUUGUCAAAAGGGAAGCGUUUGACACCAGUGUUGUUUUUCUGAAAAUCAAUUAAAGAACUGUUUAUGCUAAGUUGUUUAGACUUUAUCAGCUAUCUGUUUAGUUUUGAGCUUUUCUUUAAUGCACUUUUCAGUUAACAAGUCAACAUCAAUUUCUUUUGCUGUAAAAAAGCUUGAGGAAGGUGGUUUGAGAUUCGUCUUAAGUGUUUAUAGCCUCUUGCCUAUGCAGUCGGAGAGAUUGAGGUCUGCAGCGUAGAUCCUUCGGGGCUAAAUGUAUUUGUGCUAAGUUAUAGCAUUUUAUAGACAACUUGUUGACUAUGAUUUGUCUUGUAGCUUACUCGCUUAUGUUAUUUUACCUACGCUUAGGAUGUUGAAGUCAUCGUAUCGCGC